GAGGAAUAUUGGACAGUGAGCGAGAGCUUGAUCCAGCCAUGCCGCGUGCAGGAAGACUGCCCUAUGGGUUGUAAACUGCUUUUACAGAGGAAGAAACGCCCCUUCGUGAGGGGGUCUGACGGUACUCUGCGAAUAAGGAUCGGCUAACUCCGUGCCAGCAGCCGCGGUAAUACGGAGGAUCCGAGCGUUAUCCGGAAUCAUUGGGUUUAAAGGGUCCGUAGGCGGACAGCUAAGUCAGCGGUGAAAUCCUGUAGCUCAACUACAGGCCUGCCGUUGAUACUGGUUGUCUUGAAUUAAUGUGAAGUGGCCGGAAUAUGUGGUGUAGCGGUGAAAUGCAUAGAUAUCACAUGGAACACCGAUUGCGAAGGCAGGUCACUAACAUUAUAUUGACGCUAAUGGACGAAAGCGUGGGGAGCAAAC
rnacentral:rRNA from 1 species